AACGAACGCUGGCGGCAUGCCUAACACAUGCAAGUCGAACGGGACCUUCGGGUCUAGUGGCGCACGGGUGCGUAACGCGUGGGAACCUGCCCUUAGGUUCGGAAUAACUCCCCGAAAGGGGAGCUAAUACCGGAUAAUGUCUUCGGGCCAAAGGUUUAUCGCCUUUGGAUGGGCCCGCGUUGGAUUAGCUAGUUGGUAGGGUAAAAGCCUACCAAGGCGACGAUCCGUAGCUGGUCUGAGAGGAUGAUCAGCCACACUGGGACUGAGACACGGCCCAGACUCCUACGGGAGGCAGCAGUGGGGAAUAUUGGACAAUGGGCGAAAGCCUGAUCCAGCAAUGCCGCGUGAGUGAUGAAGGCCUUAGGGUUGUAAAGCUCUUUUACCCGGGAUGAUAAUGACAGUACCGGGAGAAUAAGCUCCGGCUAACUCCGUG
rnacentral:rRNA from 1 species